rnacentral:rRNA from 1 species
UACAGAGGGUGCGAGCGUUAAUCGGAAUUACUGGGCGUAAAGCGCGCGUAGGCGGCUUUGCAAGUCGGGUGUGAAAUCCCCAGGCUUAACCUGGGAACUGCAUUCGAGACUGCAUUGCUAGAGUAUGGGAGAGGGAAGUGGAAUUUCCGGUGUAGCGGUGAAAUGCGCAGAUAUCGGGAGGAACACCAAUGGCGAAGGCAGCUCGCUGGGACGUUACUGACGCUGAGACGCGAAAGCGUGGGGAGCAAACAGG